UUAAAAUAUUGUAUGAAUUACUUAGUGGGAUGUAAUAUUUUAUAGGUAAACUUAAAAGGGAUGUAAUAUUUUCAGUAAGAAUUUAAGUUUCUUUUUGUGGUACAUACAGAACUUACAAGUAAUGAAUGUAAUAUUGUAGGAACCAAAUACUAAUCGUUUGUAAAUCACUUAGGGGGAUUUAAUAUUUUAAAGGUAAACAUAGAGGGGAUGUGAUGUUUUAAGUAAGAAUUUCAGUUUCUUUUUGUGACAUAUGCAGAGACUCCACAGAGGAGAUAUGAUAUUUUAAAUACCAAAUAUGAAUUGCUUGAAAUAUUGUAGAAAAAUACUUAGGGGGAUCUAAUAUUUUAGAAGUAUACAUAGGAGGGAUGUGAUAUUUCAAGUAAAAAUUUUAGUUUUUUUUUGUGCUACAAACAUAAUUUACAAGUGAUGGAUGUGAUAUUCAAGAUAGCAAUUAAUACUCGUUUGAAAAUAUUUAUGAAUUACUUAGGGGAUGUAAUAUUUUAAAGAUAUACAUAGGGGGGAUGUGAUAUGGGGGAAUGUUUUAGAAACCUGCAUAGGGAGAUUUGAUAUUUUAGUUUAAAAUUUUAGCUGUUAUUUGCAAAAUGUGCAGAGAUUACUCAAACAGUCUUUUUUCAUUUUUUUUUUUUUUUUUUAGAUUUAAUUGAGCUAACAAAUGUAUUAUUGUUCAAUCAAUUCAUAUGUAUGCCGACAUAUGAAUUGGCUUGGUUGAUUUACACAAAAUAAUAUGUGUGCUGACAUGUAAUCUAUGCCAAAAUAUGUAAAAUAUGCCGAAUAUGUAUGCCAAUGAUUUACACAAAAUAAUAUGUAUGCCGACAUAUGAAUUAGCAGAAUUAUGAAGGCUUCCGACAAGUUAAAGUAUUAUAACAAUACAAGAAGUCACUAAAACUAGGGAAAAUUUUUUUUUACCUAUUUGUGUUUUUAUCUGUAAGGGCAUACCAUUUAAAUUGGUUCAAUUAAUGACAAAAUUUUGAAGAAAAAGAAAUGACUGCAAUUUUAAAAAAUUCAUUUAUUAUUACAUUUAUAUAUAAAUAUGUUCACAACAAAAUAAAGUUUCAUUUCUAAAAACAAUGCAUCUUAUACGGUACCAUCGAUUUGGAUGCAAAUAUCACAUUUGAUCUAAAAAUAAAUAUUAAAUGUAUAUUUUUCUAUUUAAAUAUUUAAAGUAUUUUUUUCUAUUUGAAAUUUUUAUUAAAAAAUAAUUAAAAUAUAUUUUAUUACCCAUUUAACUUUUUUUUUAUUUUUUCUAGUUUUUGGACCAAUUUCACUUCCUCAAAUGCGACACAAACUAUUCUGCCAACUUUUCUGACCUAUUGAUUUAAUUUUUCAUCAUUUUUUUUGUCUUUUUUAUAGAUAUCAUUUAACAUUGAAGUAGUAUAAACAUUUUCAGUUCUCUAAAGAAUCUCACAAACCUCCUUUAUCUCUCUUUCUGUCUGCAUUAACUUCUACAUGUGGAAAGACUCGCACCAAUACUUCUCCGUUUGUAUAACUUUCAGCAAACUAAAAUAUAUAAUAUCUGGCAGAUAUAGUCAAACGAAUGAACGUGAAUACGACGGGAAAAAUCCUCGAAACAACCAUGGCGUUUCAUCACGUUUCCUUAUUCAAGCAUCCUAACGUGUUUUUUUACCGAAGUCUUUUUGAGUAUAUUUAUAUAUUAUUGUUUUAUUCAAGUAUUCGAUUAAAUUAUACAGGUUUUAA